rnacentral:rRNA from 1 species
ACGGGAGGCAGCAGUGGGGAAUAUUGGGCAAUGGAGGCAACUCUGACCCAGCGACGCCGCGUGAGCGAUGAAGGUCUUCGGAUUGUAAAGCUCUGUGUACAGGGACGAUAAUGACGGUACCUGUAUAGAAAGCCACGGCUAACUACGUGCCAGCAGCCGCGGUAAUACGUAGGUGGCAAGCGUUAUCCGGAUUUACUGGGUGUAAAGGGUGUGUAGGCGGGGGAGCAAGUCAGAUGUGAAAUCUGUGGGCUCAACUCACAGACUGCAUUUGAAACUGUUCUUCUUGAGAGUCGGAGGGGUAAUCGGAAUUCCUGGUGUAGCGGUGAAAUGCGUAGAUAUCAGGAGGAACACCGGUGGCGAAGGCGGAUUACUGGACGACAACUGACGCUGAGACACGAAAGCGUGGGGAGCAAACAGGAUUAGAUACCCUGGUA